rnacentral:rRNA from 1 species
AUUGAACGCUGGCGGCAUGCUUUACACAUGCAAGUCGAACGGUAACAGGCCGCAAGGUGCUGACGAGUGGCGAACGGGUGAGUAAUGCAUCGGAACGUGCCCAGUCGUGGGGGAUAACGCAGCGAAAGCUGCGCUAAUACCGCAUACGAUCUAUGGAUGAAAGCGGGGGACCGAAAGGCCUCGCGCGAUUGGAGCGGCCGAUGUCAGAUUAGGUAGUUGGUGGGGUAAAGGCUCACCAAGCCGACGAUCUGUAGCUGGUCUGAGAGGACGACCGGCCAAACUGGGACUGAGACACGGCCCAGACUCCUACGGGAGGCAGCAGUGGGGAAUUUUGGACAAUGGGCGCAAGCCUGAUCCAGCAAUGCCGCGUGCAGGAAGAAGGCCUUCGGGUUGUAAACUGCUUUUGUACGGAACGAAACGGCUCUGGUUAAUACCUGGGGCUAAUGACGGUACCGUAAGAAUAAGCACCGGCUAACUACGUGCCAGCAGCCGCCGUAACAC